rnacentral:lncRNA from 1 species
AUUCUUUACAUCACAUUUAUUCUUUGUUGUCCCACACUAACUCUAGUGUCCACUUUACCAUUUCGAAUGCCACUCGAUCUAUGUUCAACAUGCAUAUAUUUUGUCAUCCAUUGGUAGUCAUUACUUAGCAUUUUAUGCAUUCGUUAACAUUUACUACAUGCAUUCUCGGUUAGUACAAAUCUCAUACUUUCAUUUGACAUCUAUUUAGCAUUUCUAUAAUAUGCACAUGUAAAUUAACAUCAACUCAUGCAUUCAUUUGGCAUCUAUCUUUAUCAUGCAUUCUUAAAUAGCAUACUUUAUCAUGCAUUCUCAAAUAGCAUACUUUAUCAUGCAUCAAUAGUAAACAUACUACACUUUGGCAUGGAAAGCGACCUAAUCGCUUCGGUGAGCACAACCCACCUCAAAACGCUUUCCGAUUGCUUGUCGACACUUGCAAUCGGCCUCCCGCGGCACCCGUAACCCGGUUUGGCCCGAACUCUUGCGCGACCACCCGAACGGCCACCAAUUCGCGAUCCGUCUGUUCGGGAGUUUAUUCCCCGACACCACGAUGCUCCCGAUCCAUUCUCAUGAUUUUUGGAGGCUUAUCCCGCGUGCUGCGGCUAUCUGUACCAAAACAGAUUGUUUCGUCAAUAACUUUGCGUACACUCGUCGGAUUGUCGAACCGAGCGCACCAACGCGUUCGUUAUACCCCCAAUUAGGUUUAUAGAGGGUCAAUUGAGAUCAAACUCAACUAUUUACAAAAACCCUCUUUAGGAGCCCUAAUAUGCAACUAUUGCAAAAUCCACCAUUUCAUCUCAUGAAUCAAGCAUAAACCAUCUAUUUAGCAUGCUAGGAUUCCAUUAAAAUCAUCUUUAGAGUAUAAGAACUUAACCCUAAAGAUCUACCAUUAGAGAGCAUAAGGCUUACCUCUCUAAGCUUGCUCCCAUGGCUCAAGGAAGGAGAUGAAGAUGAAGCUCCAUCUUCUUGGCCUCUUCUCCUUCAUCUUCUUCUUUUUCUUCUCUUUCUUUCUCUUCUUCUCCUUCUUUUCUUUCUAGAGAGAGAGAGGGAGAGGUUUUGGUGUGGGAGAGUGAGAGAAAUGAGAGAAAGAGAGAAAGGGUCCUCUCUAUACACUCUCAUAAGUGCCAUUUUGCACUUAAGCCCCUCCACAAUGCUUCCCUCGCAACAGCCCAAACUGGGCAUUUUCGGGCUUCGGGGACCGGUCCUUGCGAUGAGAGACCGGUCCCUGAGAGACCGGUCCUUGGCUGAGAGACCGGUCCCCGAAGGUCCAGAAAUCAGCCUUCAAGGACUUAGCCAAAUUUUCCGCUUUUUCAUCGUUUUAGCUCCGUUUUCGCUCGUUUUUGCUCGUUUGACCUCCGAUUCAUUUCAAAUCGAACCGAGACUCUCCAAACAUGUUUUCGAACAUAUUUUCAUCAUCUUUUCACCCACGCUAAUGCCGGAUUUAACUCACGGUUCAACAUAGCCUUUCGGCUCCGUUUUCGCGCCCUAUGCGCACCGAAGCACCCGAAUGCUCCCGAACUUCGCCGGGACGAUUCCAAUGGCUUUCUAAGCUAACUUACAUCGUAACUUCGUGAAUUUAGAAGUUCGGUAUAUUACAUUCUCCACCCCUUAAAAGAAUUUCGUCCGCGAAAUUCAAACACAACUCGAUUCAGCUCCUCGAGCAAUUGAGGGCACCAAUACACUUUCCACUUCGGAAUGGCUUUACACUCCUUGGAACUAUCCAAAAGGACUACCACGGAGUUCAUGAUACUAAAUGCAUCCAAAUUUGCAAGGCGCAUCUCACAAAGUGCAUUAGGGUAUCCAUCACUCUUGGUGGCGGCGCAAGUCGAAACUCAACGACUCCACGCGCUCCAAUACCACUUGUCACUUGGCAUACAAGAACUCUUCUUCGCAUUUACUUUCCCCUCAGGGAAUACACUCCGAUUCUAUCUCCAACAUUGCUUAAAAGCAACAUCACUAGUGCAUCGCUUCACCGCGAGUGCUUUAAUUCCGCACCGAUCUUUAGCUCUAACAUGAGCCACCUCGGCACAUCCCAAAUCCAAUCCUCAAACUCCACGUGGCUUCUCACAAGUUCAAGGUCUCACCACGAGCACUUCAUCUUCUGAUACCAUAUGCCACGGCCAACGUCUUAUUACUUUCGCAAAGAGCUCACAUGAACACGUUAUUUGUGAACUCAAAUCAAACUCCCCGAUAAGGCUAUUCGCCAAAUCACUUUCCUCGACUUUCCACAGGUGGGCCAAAGGCCACCCAUACUACGUAGGCCUACAGCCUAAACCCGUCUCAAUACUCGACGUCCCUCGCUCGCAAGCGUAGACCCAAUCAUCGUUGGGGCGAAAUUCUCACUGGGAAAUUCGCACACACUCCAACCAGGAGCAACUAAAAUCCCAAACCGUUACAGAUUCCCGGGUUGGGUCACACUCGCACUCUCAGUAUACUAUCAAUCGCACUAUACGCUCUAUAGCACAAUACGUACCACUAUCAGCUCCUUUGCACCUAGUGCGAGCCACCAGCCCCACGAGUGAUCCGUGGCACGCUUCACACCUAGCAAUGCUCAGGUGCUACUGCCAACACACUCAUCCGGCUGAACUAAAUCCGCACUCCACGAGUAACUAUACUCGAGCGCUAUAUGCGCCUCUAUAGCAUUCCAACUAUGUCAAGCAUCAGGCAACUUUGCCUAUGCACACCGGCCACACGAGCACGACUCACCCACCUCAAUUCGAGAUACUACUAGGCCAACGCGCCCGUAUUUGGCAGCCAAUCGCUCUACCGGAGCAACAUCUAGAACACUCAAACCAUUCGAGUGUCCACAAGUGUCAUGACACAACUCUUGCAAUCAAUUACAUACAUUGCUCUGCAAGUUGGUUCGUCAUUUCCACCUCUACUACAAGUCUCAUCAUUAGACCAUCACUAGCAACUCGCUAGUACCAUCCAGUUCUCUACCUGCACCGGCAGGUGCAACGCUCUCACCACAUAAGCGUGCCCGGGUACUUACAUUUAUCCGCGCACUUGGAUCCUACUAUGCUACUACAUAAAUAGUAGUAAUUAAUUACAUGCUCAAUGCAUGCAAUGCACCAACUUUACAUUAUGCAGAAACACAUGACUGCAUUAAUGGCUCAUACCUGCCAUGACGUUGUCAGCAGCAGGUUCCAUAUCCCGGACAUAGUUCACGAUAGGGAGAAUUCCCGUUCGUACUCUCUAACUGAGCGGUCUCCUUGCCGCAGCUUCCUGAACUUGUCCUGAAGCUUUCUCUUUUCACUGUCGGGGGAAGUCAGUAGAAGAUACCAAUCCCCGAAACUCAUCCCAUGCCAUGGAGGAAUACUAGGUGAUCGGUUCCGCCGAAUGCCUUUCCACCACGCCUUAGCCGACUGUUUCAAACAAUACACGACUAGGGGUACCCUGUCCAGCUCCAAGGUAGACAGCUCCUCGAAAAGCGUUUCCACAGAGUCAAUCCACGUAUCCACAAUCCACGAAUCGACAUUCUCUCCAUCGAAGAUAGGUGGAUCAAACUUUAUGAAGGUCAUGAGGGCUGCCAAAGCCCGCUCUUUCUCAUUCUUUUCCUUUCCUUCCUCUCUCUUUCUUUGUCCUCUAGAGAGAGAAAGAGAAGUGAGAGAGUGUGAGGGUGAGGAUGAGAAAAUAUCUCAUUCACCCAUCAUACUCAGCCUAUUCAUUGCAAAAUUGCAACUAAGUCUCUCAACUUUUAUUUCACAACACUGCCCAAACUGGGCAGACUUCGGGCUCUGAGACCGGUCUCCCCGACCAUGGGACCGGUUCCUGAGAGCUCUCCCCGCGGCAGCAGAGCUCGUGCGCAAUGCAACCGCUCUCCCCUGGUGAGACCGGUCUCUCGGGGACCGGUCUGUCCCCUUGGGACCGGUUCCCGAGAGCUGCGUUUCCAAGACUUAGCCAAAUCUUCAGUUCCCAGACUCCACACGCGCUCGGGGACCGGUCUCCCCGACUUGGGACCGGUCCCUGAGAGCUGAAAACCUGCAGCUUUGCAGAUUUUCAAUUCCAACGCUCUCGAAGACCUCUCCGAGGCACUUUUACUCAUUUUGACGUCCUCGGCCUCUCCGAAGCACACCCAUUUCAUACUUUGGUCACUUUGACUAAAGUUCGAUAUUUCGACCACCGAGUUUCGAUAUAUUACAUCUACAAUUUUUUUUUUGGAGUCUCUUAAUUCCCUCCCCUUGGUGCAUAGCAGCCUCUUGCGGCCGCUGCACCACAUCAGCUUGUUGCCUCACCACACCCACAAGCGUGGCCAACUGUUCGCGAAGUUCCAAGUCUCCGCGCGCCUCGGAUUGCUCAGGGACAUCACUUGUCCCACCCCGCGUCGAUCUAAACGAAGAUCGCCUACGCGGUGCCAUCGUUACCUAGAACAUGACAACUCAACUAACUCUCAACCUUCUAGGUCGAGUAUGAAACAAUUGACACCAACUCAAAUCGGGCGAAAGUCAUACAAGGGCAUCUAUUCUCAUCACUCGGUUUCAUGUUGUACGCGUCCAACAUGAACACCCUCGGUUGAGAAUAGACAACACCUUGGAUCUACCUCUAAUCUCCUUUUUAGAGGUUUACAACACAACCCAAUCCCUUAACCUUUCGCCAAAAGUCAUAAGUCCUCGUCUCUCACGAGCCUUAAUCUCCUAUGGUUUACUAUCCUAGGGUCUCCUAGGUUCAUCUAAACCACUUUUCCAUUCUCUACUUUAUGCUCUGAUACCAUCUUAUCUGUCACGCCCCGAGCCCGCCUCUUUGGUCGGAUUCGGGCACGCCAACAGACCGCCGAACGGACAGGGUUUCCCCUACACGCGGACAGAGUCUCCCCUGUACGUUCAAGGCGUCGCAAUCAAUACAAUUACAAGAGGUUCCAAACAGGAACAAUUUUCAACAACGAUUGCAUAAGGAAGGUAUCAAACAACAUAACACAUCCUAUAUUAUUACAAUCAUUCAUCUCAUCAUUUUACAUCGCAUUUUUCAUUACAUUGAUUCUCAACUUCCAAAUAUACAAUCGAUUUCUUUUCUUUUCUUUUCUUAUACCCCUAAGGAGCCGACUCAGGGUACUGCUAUCUGGUCUCUGUGGUAGGGCGCUAACUACGGAGCUACGCCCUUUCCUCGCGCCGCCGCGCCGCUCGCGUGUGAACCUGUACCCCCAAAAACAACAACACGGAGGUGAGACUAUUGUCCAUAGUCGUCAGUGGGUACAGCCACCCAAGGGAAGAGCUCAACCCACCAGGUCCAAAGGAGGCACUGCAACAUGUUAGUCCAACAGAUAUAUACAUAUAACAUCAUGCAAUACAUGUUCAUGCCUCACAAAUAUGCAAAUUAUGCAACUCUUAGUCAUUCUUUACCAUUAGCCUUUCUUUAGAAUAUGCAAUUCUUUAUCAUUAGCCAUUCUUUAUUCUUUAUUCUUUGCUAAGGGCACUCGCACCUUAGGCCCAUUAUACACAUUUGCCAUUCUUUAUAACAUUAACAAACGUUUCUCAAUUGUCAUUCUUACUCAAUUGUCAUUCUUUCACAGGGUUACCUUUACCCUAGCCAGCUAUGCCACUCGACUCGGUCUUGAGUCAAUUCAUAAUGAAUACAAGAUCCACUUUCCAAUCCAUGAUUCCUUUUUGUUCUUUGUUCUUUAAUCUCACGGCUAACCCGGGGGUUUCGCCACAUUAACUUGCUUCACAUUAAGUCCAUCAUCGCAGGAACUCACCAGCUAGGACCGUCCUUCGGGUUUACUCCAACCCGUGAUGCAAAACUCCGGAGCGCAUCGCCCGAGGGGGAGCGACCGCCCUCGAGCACGGAACUCAUAGCAAGUAUGAUCAUAUCCUUAACUCAAAGGAUUUGUAGUUGAAUCAUGGCUUUACACUAACUUUAGUGUUCUUUACAUCACAUUAGUUGCUAACUCUAGCAAUCAUUGUUCUUUACACCCAACUUGUCAAUUACUCUAGUAAUUGUCAUUCUUGAUACCACACUUGUUCUUUUGUUGCCUCACACUAACUCUAGUGUGCUUCAUGUCACAUUGGUUGCUAACUCUAGCCAUUAUCAUCGUUCUUUACACUUUGCUUGUUCUUUAUGCCACAUUACUUUACAUCGCCUCAAGCCAUUAUCAUUAUUCUUUACAUCACAUUGCUUUGCCUUGUCUCAAGCCAUUAUCAUUAGGUUCUCACAUUACAUCUCCUGCAUACACAUAGAUUAUUUAGAUUCUUAAUCAUUCUAAUAAGCACGUGUACUCACAUCAUGCAACAUUACAUUAUUAUCAUCACAUUGUUUUACAUUAUCUUUAGCCAUUAUCAUUAUUCUUUACAUCACAUUUAUUCUUUGUUGUGCCACACUAACUCUAGUGUCCACUUUACCAUUUCGAAUGCCACUCGAUCUAUGUUCAACAUGCAUAUAUUUUGUCAUCCAUUGGUAGUCAUUACUUAGCAUUUUAUGUAUUCGUUAACAUUUACUACAUGCAUUCUCGGUUAGUACAAAUCUCAUACUUUCAUUUGACAUCUAUUUAGCAUUUCUAUAAUAUGCACAUGUAAAUUAACAUCAACUCAUGCAUUCAUUUGGCAUCUAUCUUUAUCAUGCAUUCUUAAAUAGCAUACUUUAUCAUGCAUUCUCAAAUAGCAUAUUUUAUCAUGCAUCAAUAGUAAACAUACUACACUUUGGCAUGGAAAGCGACCUAAUCGCUUCGGUGAGCACAACCCACCUCAAAACGCUUUCUGAUUGCUUGUCGACACUUGCAAUCGGCCUCCCGCGGCACUCGUAGCCCGGUUUGGCCCGAACUCUUGCGCGACCACCCGAACGACCACCAAUUCGCGAUCCGUCUAUUCGGGAGUUUAUUCCCCGACACCACGAUGCUCCCGAUCCAUUCUCAUGAUUUUUGGAGGCUUAUCCCGCGUGCUGCGGCUAUCUGUACCAAAACAGAUUGUUUCGUCAAUAACUUCGCGUACACUCGUCGGAUUGUCGAACCGAGCGCACCAACGCGUUCGUUUGGUCCCCAAUUAGGUUUAUAGAGGGUCAAUUGAGAUCAAACCCAACUAUUUACAAAAACCCUCUUUAGGAGCCCUAAUAUGCAACUAUUGCAAAAUCCACCAUUUCAUCUCAUGAAUCAAGCAUAAACCAUCUAUUUAGCAUGCUAGGAUUCCAUUAAAAUCAUCUUUAGAGUAUAAGAACUUAACCCUAAAGAUCUACCAUUAGAGAGCAUAAGGCUUACCUCUCUAAGCUUGCUCCCAUGGCUCAAGGAAGGAGAUGAAGAUGAAGCUCCAUCUUCUUGGCCUCUUCUCCUUCAUCUUCUUCUUUUUCUUCUCUUUCUUUCUCUUCUU